rnacentral:rRNA from 1 species
CAUGCAGUCGAGCGGUAGCACAGAGAGCUUGCUCUCGGGUGACGAGCGGCGGACGGGUGAGUAAUGUCUGGGAAACUGCCUGAUGGAGGGGGAUAACUACUGGAAACGGUAGCUAAUACCGCAUAAUGUCGCAAGACCAAAGUGGGGGACCUUCGGGCCUCAUGCCAUCAGAUGUGCCCAGAUGGGAUUAGCUAGUAGGUGGGGUAACGGCUCACCUAGGCGACGAUCCCUAGCUGGUCUGAGAGGAUGACCAGCCACACUGGAACUGAGACACGGUCCAGACUCCUACGGGAGGCAGCAGUGGGGAAUAUUGCACAAUGGGCGCAAGCCUGAUGCAGCCAUGCCGCGUGUGUGAAGAAGGCCUUCGGGUUGUAAAGCACUUUCAGCGGGGAGGAAGGCGUUGAGGUUAAUAACCUUGUCGAUUGACGUUACCCGCAGAAGAAGCACCGGCUAACUCCGUGCCAGCAGCCGCGGUAAUACGGAGGGUGCAAGCGUUAAUCGGAAUUACUGGGCGUAAAGCGCACGCAGGCGGUCUGUCAAGUCGGAUGUGAAAUCCCCGGGCUCAACCUGGGAACUGCAUUCGAAACUGGCAGGCUAGAGUCUUGUAGAGGGGGGUAGAAUUCCAGGUGUAGCGGUGAAAUGCGUAGAGAUCUGGAGGAAUACCGGUGGCGAAGGCGGCCCCCUGGACAAAGACUGACGCUCACGUGCGAAAGCGUGGGGAGCAAACAGGAUUAGAUACCCUGGUAGUCCACGCCGUAAACGAUGUCGAUUUGGAGGUUGUGCCCUUGAGGCGUGGCUUCCGGAGCUAACGCGUUAAAUCGACCGCCUGGGGAGUACGGCCGCAAGGUUAAAACUCAAAUGAAUUGACGGGGGCCCGCACAAGCGGUGGAGCAUGUGGUUUAAUUCGAUGCAACGCGAAGAACCUUACCUGGUCUUGACAUCCACAGAACUUUCCAGAGAUGGAUUGGUGCCUUCGGGAACUGUGAGACAGGUGCUGCAUGGCUGUCGUCAGCUCGUGUUGUGAAAUGUUGGGUUAAGUCCCGCAACGAGCGCAACCCUUAUCCUUUGUUGCCAGCGGUCCGGCCGGGAACUCAAAGGAGACUGCCAGUGAUAAACUGGAGGAAGGUGGGGAUGACGUCAAGUCAUCAUGGCCCUUACGACCAGGGCUACACACGUGCUACAAUGGCAUAUACAAAGAGAAGCGACCUCGCGAGAGCAAGCGGACCUCAUAAAGUAUGUCGUAGUCCGGAUUGGAGUCUGCAACUCGACUCCAUGAAGUCGGAAUCGCUAGUAAUCGUAGAUCAGAAUGCUACGGUGAAUACGUUCCCGGGCCUUGUACACACCGCCCGUCACACCAUGGGAGUGGGUUGCAAAAGAAGUAGGUAGCUUAACCUUCGGGAGGGCGCUUACCACUUUGUGAUUCAUGACUGGGG